AACAGCAGCCAUAUCACCCUGCAACUCACAACUGGCAACCCACUGAAGCUAAGCAGGUGUGAGCCUGGUCAAUACCUGGAUAAGAGACCUCCUGGGAAAAACUAAGGUUGCUGCUGGAA
ensembl:rRNA 5S_rRNA 5S ribosomal RNA